GACGAACGCUGGCGGCGUGCUUAACACAUGCAAGUCGAACGGAAAGGCCCUGCUUUUGUGGGGUGCUCGAGUGGCGAACGGGUGAGUAACACGUGAGUAACCUGCCCUUGACUUUGGGAUAACUUCAGGAAACUGGGGCUAAUACCGGAUAGGAGCUCCUGCUGCAUGGUGGGGGUUGGAAAGUUUCGGCGGUUGGGGAUGGACUCGGGGCUUAUCAGCUUGUUGGUGGGGUAGUGGCUUACCAAGGCUUCGACGGGUAGCCGGCCUGAGAGGGUGACCGGCCACAUUGGGACUGAGAUACGGCGCAGAAGCCUACGGGAGGCAGCAGUGGGGAAUAUUGCACAAUGGUCGGGAGCCUGAUGCAGCAACGCCGCGUGCGGGAUGACGGCCUUCGGGUUGUAAACCGCAUUCGCCUGUGACGAAGCGUGAGUGACGGUAAUGGGUAAAGAAGCACCGGCUAACUACGUG
rnacentral:rRNA from 1 species